GUUGUCCGGAUUUAUUGGGCGUAAAGCGAGCGCAGGCGGUGAUUUAAGUCUGAUGUGAAAGCCCCCAGCUCAACUGGGGAGGGUCAUUGGAAACUGGAUCACUUGAGUGCAGAAGAGGAGAGUGGAAUUCCAUGUGUAGCGGUGAAAUGCGUAGAUAUAUGGAGGAACACCAGUGGCGAAGGCGGCUCUCUGGUCUGUAACUGACGCUGAGGCUCGAAAGCGUGGGUAGCAAACAGGAUUAGAUACCCUGGUAGUCCACGCCGUAAACGAUGAGUGUUAAGUGUUGGAGGGUUUCCGCCCUUCGGUGCUGCAGUUAACGCAUUAAGCACUCCGCCUGGGGAGUACGACCGCAAGGUUGAAACUCAAAGGAAUUGACGGGGGCCCGCACAAGCGGUGGAGCAUGUGGUUUAAUUCGAAGCAACGCGAAGAACCUUACCAGGUCUUGACAUCCUUUGGCCGCCCUAGAGAUAGGGUUUCCCCUUCGGGGGCAAAGUGACAGGUGGUGCAUGGUUGUCGUCAGCUCGUGUCGUGAGAUGUUGGGUUAAGUCCCGUAACGAGCGCAACCCUUAUUGUUAGUUGCCAGCAUUGAGUUGGGCACUCUAGCAAGACUGCCGGUGACAAACCGGAGGAAGGCGGGGAUGACGUCAAAUCAUCAUGCCCCCUAUGACCUGGGCUACACACGUGCUACAAUGGGAAGUACAACGAGCAAGCCAAGCCGCAAGGCCUAGCGAAUCUCUGAAAGCUUCUCUCAGUUCGGAUUGCAGGCUGCAACUCGCCUGCAUGAAGCCGGAAUCGCUAGUAAUUGCGGAUCAGCAUGCCGCGGUGAAUCCGUUCCCGGGCCUUGUACACACCGCCCGUCACACCACGAGAGUUUGUAACACCCAAAGUCGGUGCGGCAACCCUUCGGGGAGCCAGCCGCCUAAGGUGGGACGAAUGAGUGGGGUGAA
rnacentral:rRNA from 1 species